AAGUCGUAACAAGGUUUCCGUAGGUGAACCUGCGGAAGGAUCAUUAUUGAUUUUAAAGGAUGUGCUGGCCUUUUGGGCAUGUGCACUCUUAACAAAACCAAUAUCCACCUGUGCACAAUCUGUAGGCAAAGAUUAACCUCUCUUUGCCUAUGUACUUUUACAAACAACCAUUGAUGUAUUUGAAUGAUUUAUAAAUAUUGUAAAACAACUUUCAACAAUGGAUCUCUUGGUUCUC
rnacentral:misc_RNA from 1 species